GACCCAUUUUCUUGGGAUGUAUAGGUAAGUCCCACUCAUGGUCCAAGGAGAGUGAAGAAGACAAGGGCUAGUCCCCUGUUGAUUUGGAGGAGAUGAGAAGAUUUUGGUAACAUAGCAGGGAACUGCCAUGAGACACACACUAAAUGACACAAUUUCCAGGAGGUAAGUAACAUAUCUUGCCUUGUGUUUCCAAGGAGGAAAAAGUCAAUCAAACUGUUGUUGGACUCUCAACUAAUUGAGUGUUCCCUGUUGAUUUGGAGGAGAUGAGAAGAUUUUGGUAACAUAGCAGGGAACUGCCAUGAGACACACACUAAAUGACACAAUUUCCAGGAGGUAAGCAACAUAUCUUGCCUUGUGUUUCCAAGGAGGAAAGAGUCAAUCAGACUGUUGUUGCACUCUCAACUAAUUGAGUGUUCCUUGUUGCCACAUUAAUGAGAUAUUGUCAGAUGGUUGUUUGUUUAGGUUUAGGAGCCAUAGGUUAUUUGAGUUUAUCUGGAGCUACCCAGGUGGAUAUCUGGGUGGGUGGGGGUUAUUUCAUUACUUGUAAUUUGAAAAUAUAACAUUUUCUCUGGAUAAAUAAGGAGCAGAACACACUUACAGCCUAACAAAACAGCAAAACCCAAAUCUUACCAUUACAGUACUUUUCCUUGUUCUUUUUUUUUUUCAGGUCAUUUGUACAUAAAUUGGUUAAGUGACCUUUCAUGUAAAGGAUGCAAUAGGAUCUGCCACACAGAAGCCUAUGGUAUAAAGCAUUUGUUAAUCCUUCAGGUCUUAUAGGGAUCUAACCAGAGAACCAGGAAGAGACUGGAUAAAGAAGAAGAAGAAGGGUGAUCUGUCAACAUCCUUUUAACCAACUGUAGUUUUGCAAGUAUGUUUUUUAGUGGCUGACUUUUGCUUUCACUAGUAGAAGUUCCUUUCAGUAUUUCUUCAAACAGAAAGAGAGAUGACAGACCAAUAAAAGUAAAAAUGCUAGGAAGAAGUCCGAAAAGUGUUCUCAAAAUAUUUUGGGAUGUUGAGGAAGAUGACAACAAACUGCUGGAAGUUAAAGAGUGACCAACCCAAUAAUAUGCACACCUCUGCACUUUGGUUAAGACUCAACAGGUAAGAAGCAUAGGUAAACAUUUUUAUCACUUUGUGCCAUUUGAAUGUAAUAUGUCAUUGCUGGUAUAUAAUAGCGUUGUUGCUCUUCUCCUGAGAGUUAUGAUUUUUUUUUAAAGCAAGUUAUAAAAAUACUAAUCAUGAUUGAUUAAUUAAUUCAUUUCAUUUCCUCCACGACUAUAUUCUUACAGUUAUUGAUCGCUGCAGUAUAUAGAUAAGUGUCCUGGCAGCUAUUUCUGUGCAUUUGUGAUUUUUUUGUGUCUGAUUCAAGAAACAAGAAAUGGCUGUGAGUACCUUCUGCUGGGCUUGAUUCAUGCCUCUUUAAAUCACAAAAGGAUUUUAGAUUCCAACCUAAAAAUGGAAAUUGACAACAAAACAUCUGAAAAACACCUGAAAGUGAAAGGGUCCUAGCAUCUUUUCUGAGCACAAUAUAGGAAACUGGUGGAGGGAUCAAGUUUUUUUCAUCAUCUUGGGGUGAGUCACUCAGUUUCCUUAUCAGGUAAUAAAAAAUAUGUCUUUCUCUGACCCAAAAAUUAUCCACAGGAUCAUCAACAAUUUUUUCUCUCUCUCUGUGGACAAUUAUGAUGCUUGCAGUCACUAAAGCUAUUUUAUUGCACAUCCUGGAUGUAUAGGUCAAACUUGUGGUCCAAGGAAAGUGAAGAUUACAAGGCUUAGUGCCCUGUUGAUUUGGAGGCAAUGAGGCACCUUUGGUAACAGAGCAGGAAACUACCACAAGACACACAUUAAGCAACAACUUUUCAAGAAGUAAGUAACAAAUCUUGCUUUGUGUUACCAUGGAGGAAAAAGUCAAUCAAACUGUUGUUGGACUCUCAACUAAUUGAGUGCUCCUUGUUGCCACAUUAAUGAAAUGUUGUCAGAUGAAUAUUUAUUUAGGUUUAGGAGCCAUAAGCUAUUUGAGUUUUUCUAACACUACACAAAUGGAUAUCUCAUUUGGCGGAGGUGGGAACAUUACUUCUAAUUUGAAAAGAUAACAUUAUCUCUGGAUGAAUAAGGAAUAGAAAAAUUACUAUUUUUUUCCUUGUUCUUUUUUCCUUGUUCCUUGGUCAGGUCAUAGGUAGACAAAGGAUGCAGCAGGAUCUGUCACACAGAAACAAGGAAAAUAUACGAUGUAUCAGGAAAUAUCCUUAAACACAAAAUAUUACCAAUAGCCAAUCCAAAGUGAAGACUUCCAGGAACUCCAAAACCAAAUGGAAAAAUGAAAACAAACUAAAUCAGGUGGUUUUUUAAAAAAUAAACAAAGAAUCUGGUAAGUGUUUCAAUACCUCUUUGGGUGCAUCUGUGACUUUUCUUCAUUGCCUGUGUAAUUCAAGAAACAGGAGGUGGCUGUGUGUACUUUCAGAUGGGCUUGGUUCAUACCCCUUUAAAUAAAAAAAGAGCUAACAUCCCAAUGUACAAAUUGAAACUAACAGCAAACACUGAAAUACUUCAGAAAGUGAAAGGGUUCUACUAACUUUUCUGAGUGCAAUGUACAAAACUGGUGGAGAGAUUAAUCUUUGUCCAUCCUCUUUGGGUAAGUCAUUCCUUUUUGUUGUAAGGUAAGAAAUACUUCUUUGUCCCCAAAAUUAUCCAGGGGAACCCAAAGCAUAUCUUUCUAUCUCCAUGGGCUAUGAUGAUGUCUGAAGUCUCUUUAAAAUGUGGAGGUUGUCAGACAGGUAGGAAAUGGUCAAGGAAUCUGGAAUAUGAAAUUAAAAUUGGGCUGAAAUUUUUCCACACUUUCAAUCGCAUUGAAGGAAUAAGCAGGUAAUUAAUUUAUUUUAUUUCUAGUGUUUUUAUUCCCAUGAAAACAAUGGUGAGUAUUCUCUCAGAAUAAAAUUAUUCCUUUUUGGGACUUGAAUAUCCACACUCCCCUAACAUUGUGAAUGCAGGGUUCUGGGAGAUGGACUAAAAGUGGCAGGAUCUGGAAUACAGAAUCUGGAAUAAAAAUUAGAAAUUGGUCUGAAAUAUUUGCACCAUUUCAAUCACCUUGAAGGAAUGAACAGGUUUGGCUGAUGGGAUGAGAUGGAAUUUAAGAAGACAUUUCUUCAUCUUAGAAAAUGAUAGAGAGAGUAGAUAAAGAAGGAGAAGGAUAACCUGUCAACAUCCUUUUAACCAACUGUAUUUUUGUAAGUACGUUUUUAGUGGCUGACUUUUGGUUUCACUAGCAGAAGUUCCUCUUGAGUAUUUCUUAGAGAGAGAGAGGAAAAGGCAGACGAAUAAAUUACAAGAUGCCAGGAAGGAGUGGGCAAAAAUUGAUUUCAAAUUGUUUGGGGAUGUGAAGAAAAAAUAGGAACCGAGUGCUGGUGAACCAGCCCAAUGAUAUGCACACCUCUGCACUUUGGUAAAGACUGAACAGGUAAGAAGCACAGAUAAGCAGCACAGUGACCUGCAAAGAUGGUCAAAAAACUCUGUUGUUUUUUUUAAAUCAGGACUUCUAAUUGCUGAUGGCAAAAGAUAAAUUUAUUUUUCCCAGCAAAAUAGCUAUAGAAUAUCUUCUCCCUGAAGUUAUUAACACCCAAAUACAGAAUGCUGUUUUUUAAAAGAGCAAAACAAAAACAACCAAGAAUAGAAGAAACUGGGAGGAAAAACAAUUUUUCUGUGCUUGACAGGAAUCAUGACUCUACUUUUAGCACCCAAGCUGUUUGCCUUCACUCUCCAGAUGCUGAGGUAAACAUUUUUAUCACUUUGUGCCAUUUGAAUGUAGUAUGUUGUUGGAGGUAUUUAAUAGCUUUGUUGCUCUUCUUCUGAGAGUUAUGAUGGGGGAGAGAAUAUUAAUCAUGAUGAAUUAAUUAAUUUAAUUUCCUCCAUUAAUGUAUUCUUACAGUUAUUGAUCGUUGCAGCAGGGAGACUGUGCUGGGAACUAGCCUCACAAUAAAGAAAUAUCUAAAACAAGAUUUUGCAAUAUAAAACACUUUUCACCUUAAGGUAAGAAAUGCCGUCUUUGAGAGGACAUGACUGAUCAUAAAUAAAUUUAUCUUUUGGUCUGAAUAAGGAAAAUAUCCAGUACUUCUGGAGAUAUCCAUAGAUGCUUAAUAUAACCAGUGCCUGAUCAAACAAGAGGCUUGUAAGACUUCCAAAGCGAAAUGGGAAAAUGGAAAUACAAACUAAAUAAGGUUGUUGUUGACAAACCAAGAAUAAGGUAAGUGUCCUGGCAGCUGUUUCUGUGCAUUUGUAACUUUUUGCCCUAUGUCUGUGUGAUUCAUGAAACAAGAGGUGGCUGUGUGUACCUUCUACUCAGUUUGAUUCAUGCUAGUUUAAGUAACCAAAAGUUCUUAUAUUGCAACAUAAAAAAUGGAAAUUAACAGCAAAAGUGAAAGGACCCUGGUAUAUUUUCUGAGUACAAUCUACAAAACUAGAUAGAGAUUAACAUCUAUGUAUCAGCUUUGAGUAAGUUACACAUUUUCAUUAUCAAAUAAGAAAAAUACCUCUCUCAUUGCCCCCCAAAUUAUCCAGGGGACCAUCAGCAAACUGCCCCUUUUUUCCCAGUGGACAGUGUUGAUGCCUGAAACCUCUUUAAAUGUGGAAGCUGCCAGCCAGGUCAUGCUGAAUGAAGCAUAGAUAAAAUACAGAAUAGAAUGUAAAAAUUGGUGUGAAAUUCUUGCAUUCCUUUGAGGAAUGAGCAGGUAAUUAAUUUAUUGUAUUUCUAGUGUUUUUAUUCCAAUAAAAAUAUUGAAAGUGCAUAUGCCAGUCAGAACAUAAUUGUUACAUUUUGAAACUUAAAUCUCCACAUUCCUCUAGCAUGGUGGAUGCACGAUUCUGGGAGAUAUAGUCACUUUUUAAAUUCUGAUUUCAAUUUCUGAACUUGUUUGCCAAUUUUUUUAGGUUUGACUACUUGCAUCAGGUGGAACUGCAGAAAAACUAUCCCAAAAAUAAUGACAUAUAUAAAACAGGAUUUGCACCAGAGAUCACUUUUCUCCCUGAGGUAAGAAAUGCCCUUUUUCAAAAAGUCUUGACCGAUCAUUAAUUUAUUUGGGUUUAUCUUUUGAAGGAAAAUAUCGGAUGCAUCAGGAAAUAUUCCUAAACAUGAAAUGAGACUAAUGGCUGAUCCAAAAUGGAGUCUUCUGGGAACUCCAAAACAAAAUGGAAAAAAUGGAAACACAAACUAAAUCACAUUUUUGUUGAUAAAUCACAAAUCAGGUACAUGUUCCAGUAUCUUUUUGGGUACAUCUAUGAUCUUCCCCCCUAUGUAUGUGUGACUCAAAAAAGAGGACAAUCUGAAAUACAAAUUAAAAAUUAGGCUGAAAUUUCUGCACUAUUUCAGUUACCUUUAAGGAAUGAGGGGGUAAUUAAUUCAUUUUAUUUUAUUGUUUUUAUUCUGAACUUCUCUUUUAGGUUGGACUCAUGUGAUCCGGAGGAACUCCAGAAGACCUUUGCCUCAUUUCUCUCAUAUAUCAUGCAACCGCACCAUUCAUAUUUAUGGCUGAGUCAAUUUUAGUAGGAAGGCUUUUUCUAGUUGUAAAAAGCAGCACCCUCUUGACAAUUGGUUUUGAGUGACUGGGAUGAACUCUCAACGCCCAGCAAACAAAAGCAAAAACCUCAAUUUAGAAAAAUUGCCCUUACUCUGAUAUUAGCAUCAUUGUUCUCUUGACAUAAAAGUAAGGAAACUUUGGUCCGCCAAAGAACCUGAAUCACUAUCAUCUGAUUUUCCUGAGGUUUUUUUUACUCCUAGCAUGGCUAUUGAUAAGGGAUUAUGGAAACUGUGGGCCAAAACACAGAGAAGGGCAGAGUUUCAAAUCCUACUAUUUUAAAGCAAUUUUCAGCUUCUCACCACAAGAUUGCUAGCUGCAGUUUGCUUGAUUAUGGUCUUUGCUGAUAUGCCCAGGGUAGCACUGAUUGCCAGUUUUGGGGUCAGGAAGGAAUUUUCCUCCAGAUCAAAUUGGCCGGAGAUCCUGGAGGUUUUUUGCCUUCCUCUGGGCAUCCGGCAGGGGUCAUGCAUUAGGGCAAUCAUAAUGAUUAAAAAUACUGUAUAAUGAAUAUGUAUUUGAAAGAAGCCAUAAAC